UGCUGCUUCAUCAAAUAAUUUUUUCUAAAAUCGUCAUAUAAAGGACACGAUAAAAUAACAUGGGCUUCAUCUUCUAAAAUAUUCAUACAAUUAUCACAGACUCGAUCUUUUAAAAUUAAUUUUUCAAAUCUCCCCGUUUCUAUUCUUAGUUGUGCUACACCACAUCGAAAGUUGGCAAAAGAACUCCUUUGCGAAAAUGGCAUUGGAAUUUUACAAUAGGUUUCCGUUUCAAAAAUGUUCUUAAAUAGAUUAUAUGUACGAAGUUUGUUACCACCUUUACCACAUAAAGCUUUCUCUGAUUGUAAAUUGCUUUGCCACUGUUCGACAUAUUUGCUGAACAUUUUACACAUAACAGUAUUGACAACUGAGGUACUAUCAACAUAGUCUGUAAUAAUACACAAAUGUUCUGCAUUAUACUCAGAAAAUGUUUUCCUUACAUAAAAAUUCCAAUUUUUUAUACACUUAUGUUUUUUACUCAUAAUGUCUGCCCAUAUGAAAUUUUUUCUGUUUAAACGAUCAGAACUCAUAUUGUUCAAACGGCACCAUAGUCGAAUAAAGCAUUGCCAUUGUUUUUGAAAGAUAGGUAUCCACCCC
rnacentral:lncRNA from 1 species